GGGUUGUGAGGUUAAGCGACUAAGCGUACACGGUGGAUGCCCUGGCAGUCAGAGGCGAUGAAGGACGUGCUAAUCUGCGAUAAGCGUCGGUAAGGUGAUAUGAACCGUUAUAACCGGCGAUUUCCGAAUGGGGAAACCCAGUGUGUUUCGACACACUAUCAUUAACUGAAUCCAUAGGUUAAUGAGGCGAACCGGGGGAACUGAAACAUCUAAGUACCCCGAGGAAAAGAAAUCAACCGAGAUUCCCCCAGUAGCGGCGAGCGAACGGGGAGCAGCCCAGAGCCUGAAUCAGUGUGUGUGUUAGUGGAAGCGUCUGGAAAGGCGCGCGAUACAGGGUGACAGCCCCGUACACAAAAAUGCACAUGCUGUGAGCUCGAUGAGUAGGGCGGGACACGUGGUAUCCUGUCUGAAUAUGGGGGGACCAUCCUCCAAGGCUAAAUACUCCUGACUGACCGAUAGUGAACCAGUACCGUGAGGGAAAGGCGAAAAGAACCCCGGCGAGGGGAGUGAAAAAGAACCUGAAACCGUGUACGUACAAGCAGUGGGAGCACGCUUAGGCGUGUGACUGCGUACCUUUUGUAUAAUGGGUCAGCGACUUAUAUUCUGUAGCAAGGUUAACCGAAUAGGGGAGCCGAAGGGAAACCGAGUCUUAACUGGGCGUUAAGUUGCAGGGUAUAGACCCGAAACCCGGUGAUCUAGCCAUGGGCAGGUUGAAGGUUGGGUAACACUAACUGGAGGACCGAACCGACUAAUGUUGAAAAAUUAGCGGAUGACUUGUGGCUGGGGGUGAAAGGCCAAUCAAACCGGGAGAUAGCUGGUUCUCCCCGAAAGCUAUUUAGGUAGCGCCUCGUGAAUUCAUCUCCGGGGGUAGAGCACUGUUUCGGCAAGGGGGUCAUCCCGACUUACCAACCCGAUGCAAACUGCGAAUACCGGAGAAUGUUAUCACGGGAGACACACGGCGGGUGCUAACGUCCGUCGUGAAGAGGGAAACAACCCAGACCGCCAGCUAAGGUCCCAAAGUCAUGGUUAAGUGGGAAACGAUGUGGGAAGGCCCAGACAGCCAGGAUGUUGGCUUAGAAGCAGCCAUCAUUUAAAGAAAGCGUAAUAGCUCACUGGUCGAGUCGGCCUGCGCGGAAGAUGUAACGGGGCUAAACCAUGCACCGAAGCUGCGGCAGCGACGCUGAUGCGUUGUUGGGUAGGGGAGCGUUCUGUAAGCCUGCGAAGGUGUGCUGUGAGGCAUGCUGGAGGUAUCAGAAGUGCGAAUGCUGACAUAAGUAACGAUAAAGCGGGUGAAAAGCCCGCUCGCCGGAAGACCAAGGGUUCCUGUCCAACGUUAAUCGGGGCAGGGUGAGUCGACCCCUAAGGCGAGGCCGAAAGGCGUAGUCGAUGGGAAACAGGUUAAUAUUCCUGUACUUGGUGUUACUGCGAAGGGGGGACGGAGAAGGCUAUGUUGGCCGGGCGACGGUUGUCCCGGUUUAAGCGUGUAGGCUGGUUUUCCAGGCAAAUCCGGAAAAUCAAGGCUGAGGCGUGAUGACGAGGCACUACGGUGCUGAAGCAACAAAUGCCCUGCUUCCAGGAAAAGCCUCUAAGCAUCAGGUAACAUCAAAUCGUACCCCAAACCGACACAGGUGGUCAGGUAGAGAAUACCAAGGCGCUUGAGAGAACUCGGGUGAAGGAACUAGGCAAAAUGGUGCCGUAACUUCGGGAGAAGGCACGCUGAUAUGUAGGUGAAGUCCCUUGCGGAUGGAGCUGAAAUCAGUCGAAGAUACCAGCUGGCUGCAACUGUUUAUUAAAAACACAGCACUGUGCAAACACGAAAGUGGACGUAUACGGUGUGACGCCUGCCCGGUGCCGGAAGGUUAAUUGAUGGGGUUAGCGCAAGCGAAGCUCUUGAUCGAAGCCCCGGUAAACGGCGGCCGUAACUAUAACGGUCCUAAGGUAGCGAAAUUCCUUGUCGGGUAAGUUCCGACCUGCACGAAUGGCGUAAUGAUGGCCAGGCUGUCUCCACCCGAGACUCAGUGAAAUUGAACUCGCUGUGAAGAUGCAGUGUACCCGCGGCAAGACGGAAAGACCCCGUGAACCUUUACUAUAGCUUGACACUGAACAUUGAGCCUUGAUGUGUAGGAUAGGUGGGAGGCUUUGAAGUGUGGACGCCAGUCUGCAUGGAGCCGACCUUGAAAUACCACCCUUUAAUGUUUGAUGUUCUAACGUUGACCCGUGAUCCGGGUUGCGGACAGUGUCUGGUGGGUAGUUUGACUGGGGCGGUCUCCUCCUAAAGAGUAACGGAGGAGCACGAAGGUUGGCUAAUCCUGGUCGGACAUCAGGAGGUUAGUGCAAUGGCAUAAGCCAGCUUGACUGCGAGCGUGACGGCGCGAGCAGGUGCGAAAGCAGGUCAUAGUGAUCCGGUGGUUCUGAAUGGAAGGGCCAUCGCUCAACGGAUAAAAGGUACUCCGGGGAUAACAGGCUGAUACCGCCCAAGAGUUCAUAUCGACGGCGGUGUUUGGCACCUCGAUGUCGGCUCAUCACAUCCUGGGGCUGAAGUAGGUCCCAAGGGUAUGGCUGUUCGCCAUUUAAAGUGGUACGCGAGCUGGGUUUAGAACGUCGUGAGACAGUUCGGUCCCUAUCUGCCGUGGGCGCUGGAGAACUGAGGGGGGCUGCUCCUAGUACGAGAGGACCGGAGUGGACGCAUCACUGGUGUUCGGGUUGUCAUGCCAAUGGCACUGCCCGGUAGCUAAAUGCGGAAGAGAUAAGUGCUGAAAGCAUCUAAGCACGAAACUUGCCCCGAGAUGAGUUCUCCCUGACUCCUUGAGAGUCCUGAAGGAACGUUGAAGACGACGACGUUGAUAGGCCGGGUGUGUAAGCGCAGCGAUGCGUUGAGCUAACCGGUACUAAUGAACCGUGAGGCUUAACCUUACAACGCCGAAGCUGUU
rnacentral:rRNA from 1 species